UACGUAGGGCGCAAGCGUUGUCCGGAAUUAUUGGGCGUAAAGAGCUCGUAGGCGGCCAGUUGCGUCCGCUGUGAAAUCCCGGGGCUUAACCCCGGGCGUGCAGUGGAUACGGGCUGGCUAGAGGCAGGCAGGGGAGAACGGAAUUCCCGGUGUAGCGGUGAAAUGCGCAGAUAUCGGGAGGAACACCAGCGGCGAAGGCGGCCACCUGGACGGAUACUGACGCUGAGACGCGAAAGCGUGGGGAGCAAACAGG
rnacentral:rRNA from 1 species